rnacentral:rRNA from 1 species
AAUAUUGCACAAUGGGGGAAACCCUGAUGCAGCCAUGCCGCGUGUGUGAAGAAGGCCUUCGGGUUGUAAAGCACUUUCAGUAGGGAGGAAGGUAGUGUAGUUAACACCUGCACUAUUUGACGUUACCUACAGAAGAAGCACCGGCUAACUCCGUGCCAGCAGCCGCGGUAAUACGGAGGGUGCGAGCGUUAAUCGGAAUUACUGGGCGUAAAGCGCAUGCAGGCGGCCUGUUAAGUCAGAUGUGAAAGCCCGGGGCUUAACCUCGGAAUUGCAUUUGAAACUGGCAGGCUAGAGUCUUGUAGAGGGGGUAGAAUUUCAGGUGUAGCGGUGAAAAUGCGUAGAGAUCUGAAGGAAUACCAGUGGCGAAGGCGGCCCCCUGGACAAAGACUGACGCUCAGAUGCGAAAGCGUGGGGAGCAAACAGGAUUAGAUACCCUGGUAG